AUGGAGCUUGCGGCCAAGGAGGGAGGAAUCGGAGGAGGCAACUAGAGAAGGAGGUGAAUGGGUUGGUUCGGGUAUAGAAGAGGCGAUGAAUGAGAGAGUUCCAUCUCAAGGGCUGGAGUUCGAAUGGGAAAGCUAGGGCAGAGGUCGGGAUGCAAGUCGGAGCUUGGAUUGCGGCUAGAAGCGUCGGCACAGUGACGGGAAAGGAGGGAGGAGGUUUUGGCUAGAAGAGAUAUUGGGGUAAGAACUCUCUCUCUCACUCUCUUUCUUUCUCUCGGGCCGAAGGAGCAAAGGGAGGGGUCGGUCAGCUAUGGUGGAGAUCGACCAAGUAAGAGGAGCUCUAGUGACGAACGGGAGAGCAGAGAGCCAAAGCUUUCACCUGUGUGGAAGUAGUCCCGAAGGCUUCCUUCAUUUUGUAUUUAAUGAUGAAAAAAGUGUCUAGGUGGCACACGAGUUGAGCAUGAUCGCAGAGAAGCGACUCAAAGGCGCCCGAGCUACAGGAUUUCAGCGGGAUUUCGGCAGGAUUUUCGCAAAAAUCGUGGAUCCGACGGGUAAGGAAACGACAAAGCUACCAUCAACAUACUUAUUCAGCAAUUACACUCGCAAUUCAAACUUAAACAGCUGGGCGAGGUGUCUCUGUUUCUUGGAAUCCAAGUCACAUGACCUCCAAUGGAUACUUCCUCAAUCAACAGCAUUACGCCAACAGCCUACUUCAAGCUGCAGGCUUCAUAGAUUGCAAACCUACACCUACGCCUCUUAUUUCCGAAGUCCAACUCUCGCUCCUACUCGUAUCAGCUCUACAUAGACCCAUAGCUCUAUCACAAACUAGUUGUCUCUCUCCAGUAUCUUUCCAUCACUUGUCCAAUCGUUGCUUUUGCCACCAACUCCUUCUGUCAACAUAUGCAUGCGCCAACUGUCACUCACUUCCAAGCACUCAAGCGUCUACUUCGCUACAUUAAUGGCAUGUCCCACUUCGGUCUACCCAUUACAAUUAGCAAUCUACAACUUAGAACCUUGAUUGGGCCGCAGAAUCCACAUAUGAGAAGUCUAUUUCCGGCUUCUGCACAUUCCUUAGACAUAAUCUUAUCUCCUGGUCAGUAAUGAAGCAAACAAUCGUCGCCAAAUCAUCCACCGAAGAAGAAUACUAUUCCUUUGCCUCUGCCACUUCGAAAUUUCUCUGGCUUCGACGUUUAGUAGCUGAAUUUCAGCUCCCUCAGUACUCUCCCACAAUUAUCCACUGUGACAACACGUCCGCCUUCGCUCUUGCACACAAUCCGGUCUUCCAUGCAAGAACAAAACAUAUCGAGAUUUACUAUCUUUUUAUUCGGAAACAUCUCAACUCCGGCGCCAUUACCAUCAUUCAUCUAAGCACAACAGAUCAGAUUGCGGACAUUCUAACCAAACCACUUUCGCCUGCUCGGUUUACAACAUUACAUAACAAAUUAACGAUUCAUCCGUUGAAUGAUUAAUUUGAGGGGGCCUGUUAGUGCACGAAUACAGGUCACCGGUUCAGCUUGAACUAAACCAUUCCACCAUGUCUUCUUACAUCUCUGUUGUCUAUAAAUACACAUCAUUAUGCUAAUUUCAAUUCAAUACAAUAUUCUUCUCUUUUUGUUUCUUCUUCUUCUCUACUUCGGUUCUCUUCGCCACCUGGGUCUUCAAUAAUAUCAGCGGCCAUAAUUUCAACUCUAUUUAGUGGCAAAAUAUUGAAGAAAUUUCUUCUUUUUCCAGGCAUUAUGAAUAGUUGUAGUAUUCAGUGUAGGAAGAGGACUGCUGGACUGCAGGUUUGGAACCUCAUUUGGGUGAAAAUAUGAAUUUUGCUGCGUUGGGACAUUUGCACAAACAGUUGAGUGCAUGAACCUGUAGCACUGAGUGCAUAGGUGGCUGAAAUCGAAAGUUUUGCACACACUAGGUUGUAUCAUGAGCGUCAAGUAAUCCACCUCCAAUUACACUCUCAAUCCUUUUGAAAACAUCCAAAACAGUUUCAUUCUCCCCAAACGGGAUGUUCGCAGUUGACCAGAGAAUUGCGAUUGGCCAUAUUGCGAUCCUCCUGCAGGUCUUGGGAGUUGGAAGAAGCAGCACACUCAGACAUGGCUUUGUCUUCGUGUACAGGUUCGUGGGUUUUGUCCAGCUCUAAUUCGUUGCUCGAUGCAGUAAAUUCUCACAUAGCCUCCUGUUCGUCCCUAAUCGAAUCGAAAGGUAGCUUCUGUUUUUUUGAUAUUUUCAUACCGUCGUUUUUUGUAUGUUGUAGUUAACAAUAUUAUGCAUAUUUUGAUAUUUUAUUUCAAACCA